rnacentral:rRNA from 1 species
AACCUAACCUAUGCAGGGGAAUAACCUCGGGAAACUGAGUAUAAUGCCCCAUAGUCCACUACGCCUGGAACGGUGAGUGGAUCAAAGCUCAGGCGGCAUAGGAUGGGCCUGCGGCGUAUCAGGUUGUAGGGGGUGUAAAGUACCCUCUAGCCAUCUACGCGUACGGGUGUUGGGAGACAUAGCCCGGAGAUGGAUUCUGAGACACGAAUCCAGACCCUACGGGGUGCAGCAGGCGCGAAAACUUGACAAUGCGAGCAAUCGUGAUCAGGGAACUCCAAGUGGCUGGGGUAAGACCCAGUCUUUUCAUAACUCUUCAAAGGUUGUAGAAUAAGGGGUGGGUAAGGACGGUGCCAGCCGCCGCGGUAAUACCGGCGCCUCAAGUGGUAGUCGCUUUUAUUGGGCCUAAAACGUCCGUAGCCGGUUUGGUACAUUCGUGGGUAAAUCAACUCGCUCAACGAGUUGAAUUCUGCGAGGACGGCCAAACUUGGGACCGGGAGAGGUGUGGGGUACUCUCAGGGUAGGGGUAAAAUCCUGUCAUCCUGAGAGGACCACCUGUUGCGAAGGCGCCACACUAGAACGGAUCCGACGGUCAGGGACGAAGCCUAGGGGCACGAACCGGAUUAGAUACCCGGGUAGUCCUAGGUGUAAACGCUGUGGACUUGAUGUUGGAGAAGCUCCGAGCUUCUUCAGUGUCGAAGCGAAGGUGAUAAGUCCACUGCCUGGGAAGUACGGUCGCAAGGCUGAAACUUAAAGGAAUUGGCGGGGGAGCACCGCAACCUGAGGAUUGUGCGGUUUAAUUGGAUUCAACGCCGGG